rnacentral:lncRNA from 10 species
GGACUUUUGCCAUCAUUUGAGCCACAUCAUAUUUCAUUGACUGAGCUAUUAUUUCCCUCUGGUUUACAGACGGGGAAACCAAGAUGCUACGUGACUUGCUCAAGAUCACACAGGUAGUAAGAGACAGAACCAGGAUUUGUACCCAUGUAAUCUGACUCUGAAGUGCAUGUUCCAAUCACUACACAUGCUGCUCUCGGUGAACAGUGACUCUUACUAUGAAACAGGAGGCAAAAUGAGCUUGCUGCCAUGAGGAUAGAGCCCAGGAUGUUGUCCUGUGUGUUGUAGAGUGAUGUAUCCUCUUCUACCUCAACGACCACUAGGUUCCUGUAGGCAAAUUAGGAGUGAUUGAGCCAUGAGGAAUAAAUCCAGCCACUCCACUGCUUUUGCUGACUGAUACUCAAGUUCUUUUGUAGAAACUUGAAAUUCCACAAUAUCAGUAGGGAAGAAUAAGAGGUUACUUUUAGUUCCCCAGGCAGUGUGCCAAAGGUUGAGAUGCUCUUUAAAAAAUUUUAAAGAGUUGCCCUUUCUGACCGUGACAAAUCUCAUCCCAUAAAUGUCAGAUAAGUUGCUCUGCCACACAGCAGGUGGUCUGUCCCCAACUCCCUGUUAGUGCUGGGCCCUGGCAAAGUCAGGAGGUUGUGCGGUGGGUUCUACAGAGGGCCCUGUCCAGACAUGGAUGCCCUGGGGCUUGGGAGAGGGCUUCCAGAAUGUGGGGCAGGAGGUAGUGCUGAAGGACAGCUUCAAAUUCUGGGAAUACUUGGAAGAGUGAAAAGGCAAGUCUAUUUUCAUAUGGUUGAAGACAGCCCUACCCUCUAAGACCAUUUGCAGAUGUGAGUCUAGCAGUUUCUAUGAAAUGUCUUUGUCCCCAACUGGCAGAAUCUAGAAAAACCUCGUGGGGUUGGAAUGACCCAAUUUGCUGACUCCAAAGCCAGGCUUUGGUCAUCAUGCAGGCAAUUCUGUCUUCAUGCGGUUGCAUGCAGGUGAGGCUGGAGCAGACAGCAUGUUCUGGAACACCUUAAUGAUGUCAGGACGCUUUUCAUUGCUCAUCUAUCACGUAACAGCUCAGAUUUGCAAUGUGCUACCUGCGUUCUCCCUUUAGCACAGACAAUGCGUUCUUUCAACAGUGUGCGGCUCCAUGGGAAAGGCUCUGCUGAAAGUGAAGUGGUGGGGUCCACAGCUGCCCCUCUGGGAAGGAGUGGUAUGGGGGCAGGUGGGGACCAGAUGCCUGGCCACAGCCGAGCUGGGGAUGAGCACAUGGAACAACCGCUUCUGGUUACACUUACUCGUUUCUCUGUGCUGAAAGGUGUCAUAUAAAUGCUAAGAACAGAGAGAGAUGGGGCCUAUUUAUUUGCAUUUUGUCUAAUGUGAGCAGAUGCAGAUAGAAAAGAGGCUUAGCCACAGCCGUUCACCUGCCCCGCUAGGCCUUCCAUCUUCAGUUCAUUUCAAUGCCUCCCGCGUCAGUUCCGCUCCAGUGCUGCAGCAGACAUGGCAUGGGGUGCAAAAGGGGCACAUGCCCUCUGUCUUCAGUGGGUUUGCAAAACUUGUGAAAGAGACAGGUUUAACCACAGGAACCAUCUGAGGACAAUACAACCCAGCAUAUGGCUCAGUGGUAAGUCAUGGGGAACAAUUGAAAUGCUGGAGGAGGUUGUGGAAGAGAGGACCACGCGUGGAUGGGCAGGAAGGCUUCUUAGGGGAAAUGAACUGGACUUGCCCUGUGAAGCUGGCCAGCAGGUAGGUGGGCAAAGAUGGUGAGCAUCGAUUGUCUACGCCCUUUGCCAGACCCUCACAUCUGCUAUUCUACUGACAUACUCCCCUCCUCUCUUUCAGUGGUUGGGUCUCCCUUAUCAAUUAGGACUUGGCUUAAAAGACUUCCACGAGGCUUUCCUCAACUGUUCUAAGUAGCAGUGCUCUGCACUGCAUUAUUCUCUAUCACAGUAUUCUGUUUUUUCCUCCCUCAAUGUAAUACAAUGUAUAAUUAGAUGUUUGCUUGUUUCAGUCUUCCCCAUUGCAUUUCAGCCACCACACAGUCAGGGGCCAUAUGUCUGCUUCAUUCACUUUUAUAUUCACAGACAUGCACAAUGCCUGGAGCCUAAGAGGUGCUCAGUAAAUACUUGCUGAAUGAAUGAGUGACCUUUGAGGAAAGCCUCAUUAGCAAAUAUAUUUCUUGGCCAGUUGAAUCCAAGCUCUUGUUUUAUAUUCCAGAAAGAAAACCUGCAGAUUCCAUUGAUCUGGCAUGGAGCUGGAUGUCUUUCAGGAUGAAGAGUUUUCAUUAAAACACAGCCACAACAAAGCAAGAAAAAAGAGCAAUUGAUAUGUGGUGGUGAGACUUGCUCUUGGAUGCUGUCAGGAAGUAUCAUCUGACUGCGUUUGCUACCCUGGGGGAGACAAACAAAACUUGAGUGAAGGAAAAUGAGAACUCACCUGAAACCAAGAAGAGUCUUUGGAAAAGGAUUUUUGUGGACCUCAUCAAAUAACCAGGAAAGAUUAAUCACCUGAGAAGAGAAGAGACUGGGAAUCUUCACCCUGCCCAGACAGACUUUUCAUCUAUUCUCCUGAGAGCAGCUCCAAGAGAUUACCUGUGGGACUCAAUUUGCAUAAUAAGAUGACCUUUGUUCCUGUGCAGUUCCACCCCUCACCUUCCCAUAAUGUCUGCCUCCCACCUCCCAGGUGCAUUAUUUUUCCCUAAUUACUUACUGCUCCUUAAAAGAAAUGUCUACACUUCCCAUCUCCUUCCUCCCCUAUGGAAAAGGGCAUAUCACUUCUAUCAUUCUCCUGUGAUCCCCUGUGCUAUGCACAUUACAA